AAGUCGUAACAAGGUUUCCGUAGGUGAACCUGCGGAAGGAUCAUUAACACGAACUAUCCACUAACCAAACCAAACGGAAACUUUUCCCCUCCCUAGUGCUUCGCGCAUUAGGCUAAACUGUUCAUUUUUUACCCCAUACAAACAAACCAAACCUAUGGUCUUGAUUUAACCAAUCAUUACCACUGCAAACUAUCCGAACACGACUUGUGGUCCACGUUGACUCGGUCUGUUCUGUUCUACUAACGAACUGAAAAAGAGCAAUACAACUCUUAACAAUGGAUAUCUUGGUUCUC
rnacentral:misc_RNA from 1 species